rnacentral:rRNA from 1 species
AAGAGACAGCAGCAGCCGCGGGAAUACAGAGGGUGCAAGCGUUAAUCGGAAUUACUGGGCGUAAAGCGCGCGUAGGUGGUUUGUUAAGUUGGAUGUGAAAUCCCCGGGCUCAACCUGGGAACUGCAUCCAAAACUGGCAAGCUAGAGUAUGGUAGAGGGUGGUGGAAUUUCCUGUGUAGCGGUGAAAUGCGUAGAUAUAGGAAGGAACACCAGUGGCGAAGGCGACCACCUGGACUGAUACUGACACUGAGGUGCGAAAGCGUGGGGAGCAAACAGGAUUAGAUACCCCUGUAGUCCCUGUCUCUUAUAC